ACUUCAUGCUGUCUGGGGGGUCCCCAACACGGCUUUGCAUCAGGGGACCUUUGCAGGACAAGUGGCGGGAGGCAUCAUCUGUUAUAGUUACGCUGCAAAAAGGAGCAUCUUCCCAAGAUCAUGCCCUGCUACUCAGGAGGGGCUGCAGCGCGGAGGAGAAGCCUGCAGUUCUGUGUCUAGCUGUAGCAAGCAAACGCCAGUGUGUUAGGAUCUACAGCAAAGCGGGGAAAAGGAAUAGAUGAAGGUACAGAAACACAUCUGAAAAUGUCCGCAAUUUGGGAACACUGCUGGCUCAACCUCUGUAACACAAAAUUAUUGACUGAAUGCCCGCCUUGCGGACUUGUAAUUUGUUUGUAUAUCAUACUGUAUUCCUAUCUUCUGUACCUAUGUGGUAUUUAUGUAACAGAAAAAUCUUGAUGUUUUCUGCUCUCCUUUCUGCACCAGAAACCUGUCUUGCUGUUGCGAUGUCUAACUUUAGCCCUGCUUUAUUGGUAUUUUAUUAAAGUCCCAUGUAAUUUUUCUAAUGAUG